AGUAAUGUAUGGGGAUCUGCCCGAUAGAGGGGGGUAACUACUGGAAACGGUGGCUAAUACCGCAUAAUGUCUACGGACCAAAGCAGGGGCUCUUCGGACCUUCCACUAUCGGAUGAACCCAUAUGGGAUUAGCUAGUAGGUGGGGUAAAGGCUCACCUAGGCGACGAUCUCUAGCUGGUCUGAGAGGAUGAUCAGCCACACUGGGACUGAGACACGGCCCAG
rnacentral:rRNA from 1 species